rnacentral:rRNA from 1 species
GACGUAGGGCGCGAGCGUUGUCCGGAUUUAUUGGGCGUAAAGAGCUCGUAGGCGGCUUGUUGCGUCGACUGUGAAAACCCGCGGCUUAACCGCGGGCCUGCAGUUGAUACGGGCAGGCUAGAGUUCGGUAGGGGAGACUGGAAUUCCUGGUGUAGCGGUGAAAUGCGCAGAUAUCAGGAGGAACACCUGAGGUGAAGACGGGUUGCUGGGCCGACACUGACGCUGAGUGCGCGAAAGCCAGGGGAGCAAACGGG